UGAGCCAAGUUUAGGGUUUCUUAAAAACCCAAAGAUGUUUGAACUGAAGAGUUUGAUCAUGGCUCAGAUUGAACGCUGGCGGCAGGCCUAACACAUGCAAGUCGAGCGGUAGAGAGAAGCUUGCUUCUCUUGAGAGCGGCGGACGGGUGAGUAAUGCCUAGGAAUCUGCCUGGUAGUGGGGGAUAACGUCCGGAAACGGACGCUA
rnacentral:rRNA from 1 species